rnacentral:rRNA from 1 species
GUGAGGAAUUUUCCGCAAUGGGCGAAAGCCUGACGGAGCAAUGCCGCGUGAAGGAUAAAGGCCUAUGGGUUGUAAACUUCUUUUCUCAGAAAAGAAUUAUGACGGUAUCUGAGGAAUAAGCAUCGGCUAACUCUGUGCCAGCAGCCGCGGUAAGACAGAGGAUGCAAGCGUUAUCCGGAAUGAUUGGGCGUAAAGCGUCUGUAGGUUGUUUAAAAAGUAUUCUGUCAAAGAUUAGGGCUUAACCCUAGAUAGGCAGAAUAAACUUUUAAGCUAGAGUUUGGUAGAGGCAGAGGGAAUUCCCGGUGGAGCGGUGAAAUGCGUAGAUAUCGGGAGGAACACCAAAGGCGAAGGCACUCUGCUGGGCCAAUACUAACACUGAGAGACGAAAGCGAGGGGAGCAAAUGGGAUUAGAAACCCCAGUAGUCC